GACGAACGCUGGCGGCGUGCUUAACACAUGCAAGUCGAACGGAAAGGCCCUGCUUUUGUGGGGUGCUCGAGUGGCGAACGGGUGAGUAACACGUGAGUAACCUGCCCUUGACUUUGGGAUAACUUCAGGAAACUGGGGCUAAUACCGGAUAGGAGCUCCUGCUGCAUGGUGGGGGUUGGAAAGUUUCGGCGGUUGGGGAUGGACUCGCGGCUUAUCAGCUUGUUGGUGGGGUAGUGGCUUACCAAGGCUUUGACGGGUAGCCGGCCUGAGAGGGUGACCGGCCACAUUGGGAGUGGAAUACGGCCCAAGCUCCUAGGGGGGGGAGCGGGGGGGAAUUUUGCACAAUGGGCGGAAGCCUGAGGCAGCAACGCCGGGGGGGGGAUGACGGCCUUGGGGUUGAAAACCGCUUUCGCCUGUGACGAAGCGUGGGUGACGGUAAUGGGGAAAGAAGCACCGGCUAACUACGU
rnacentral:rRNA from 1 species